GACGAACGCUGGCGGCGUGCUUAACACAUGCAAUUCGAACGGAAAGGCCCUGCUUUUGUGGGGUGCUCGAGUGGCGAACGGGUGAGUAACACGUGAGUAACCUGCCCUUGACUUUGGGAUAACUUCAGGAAACUGGGGCUAAUACCGGAUAGGAGCUCCUGCUGCAUGGUGGGGGUUGGAAAGUUUCGGCGGUUGGGGAUGGACUCGCGGCUUAUCAGCUUGUUGGUGGGGUAGUGGCUUACCAAGGCUUUGACGGGUAGCCGGCCUGGGAGGGUGACCGGCCACAUUGGGACUGAGAUACGGCCCAGACUCCUACGGGAGGCAGCAGUGGGGAAUAUUGCACAAUGGGCGGAAGCCUGAUGCAGCAACGCCGCGUGCGGGAUGACGGCCUUCGGGUUGUAAACCGCUUUCGCCUGUGACGAAGCGUGAGUGACGGUAAUGGGUAAAGAAGCACCGGCUAACUACGUG
rnacentral:rRNA from 1 species